rnacentral:piRNA from 1 species
UGGAAAUACUCUGGUGUCUGUCCCUAAC